rnacentral:rRNA from 1 species
UUAUAUGUGUCAUACGAGACUAGCCCGGUAAAAAAGCCGGAGGAAGGUGAGGAUGAUGUCAAGUCAGCAUGACCUUUAUAUCCAGGGCUACACACACGCUACAAUGGUCUGUACAAUGGGUAGCCAAGCCGCGAGGCGGAGCCAAUCCUGAAAGCAGGCCUCAGUUCAGAUUGCAGUCUGCAACUCGACUGCAUGAAGCCGGAGUUGCUAGUAACCGCAGGUCAGCAAUACUGCGGUGAAUACGUUCCCGGGUCUU